AAUAAAGUGCCUGAUUAAAGGGUUAUCUUGAUAGGAUAAAUAAAACAUUUAAAUGUCUUUAUUA
rnacentral:tRNA from 1 species